GAAGGGUUCUUUAGAAGGACUGUUGUGUAGCUAAGAGACUCUGUUGCUUAUUGGUAUUUGAUAAUGCAAUGGCUGGAAGACCACUAACUAUCAGAUUCAUCAGAUGGACACACUGGAUAUUGGCAAUUAUUCUGCUGCUGUUAAGUCAUCAGAUCAGAGGACAAGGACAAGUGGAGCAUUUUUGUGGAGAGAUUGUUUACCUUAUUCUUGCACCUGUCUCAUCAAGGUGAUGAUUUUAAAUCAUCCUUUGUACAUCCUCGAUGAGUAUCCCAUGCAUAUCAGACAUAUCAGUUUAGUGUACUGUUUUUCAUUUGUUUUGAUUUCACAUGUGAAAACUGGGGAUUUGCUCAGCCUGGAGAGUAGGAGCGGACAUUUUAGAAGGAUGACUCUGAGAAGUACAGUUGCUGAGCAAUAA